GCCGCCCUCCUUGCCACCGUCACCCUCCAUACCCACGACCCGCGCCAGCUAACGCCGGACCCGAGACUGCGGGAGGGCGGGCGACAGCGACUCAGCAAGUCUACACCAGUUUCCCAUCCUGAGAUUUGACUCCUCCUGCUCUUACAGGAGAGAGGGAUGAUGAGAAGGUUGGGACGCAGCUACAAAUCUCCUUAACCAGGAGAUUCUUGAGAGUUCAGCGAGAGUGGUGUUGGUCCUAAAUUCAAUGACCAGUGUCCUUAUAAGCGGCAGACUAGGAGAAGACCCAAACUAUAGAGAAGGCCAUGGCCAUGAGAAAACAGAGAUAAAAGAAGCCACACGCCAAGGAAUGUCUAAGCCACCAGAAGCUAGAAGGGGUUACAGCCCACUCCCAUAAGAUAUGACACAACUUUCAAAAUCCUGAAGUCCCCACACCUGCACAGCUGGGACAAGAUUGGGAUCUUCCCAUUAUCGAGGAUGACGGCAGAAUUAUUCUGAAUUGUUGAAUCCAGAUGGUCUCCAAGCGUCCAAUCCCAACACAGAAGUCCGUUUUUUAUGUGUUCUACACCGCUGGUAUGACCCAUACCAGGAGCCCCAGUGUAACCAAGAGCAUGGGACAUCACCCUGUGGCAUGACCUCCGUGAACUGGCCACAGAAUCUGAAGGUUUUUCACCUGCUUAAAGGCCAGACCCUUUCUGCCCUGCGAGAAUUGCCCAGGCGAGAAGGCCUCCUUGUUCUCAUGACCCAUCAGGCUUCAGAGUCUGCUUUUCAUCAUUCCGCCGCCCUGCCUCUCACAAAUCAGCAGACAUGGCACUUGCUUGCGUUAAACCACUGCUGGUGCUGGUACAUAGUGACUUUUCUGUACUUGAGUCCUAUUCAAGAUAUAACUUAUAUAAAACAACUACCUUAUGGUG